rnacentral:rRNA from 1 species
GACGAACGCUGGCGGCGUGCCUAAUACAUGCAAGUCGAACGCUUUGAUUUUCACCGGAGCUUGCUCCACCGAAAAUCAAAGAGUGGCGGACGGGCGAGUAACACGUGGGCAACCUGCCCAACAGAGGGGGAUAACACUUGGAAACAGGUGCUAAUACCGCAUAAUUUGUUUUUCCGCAUGGAAGAAUAAUAAAAGACGCUUCGGUGUCACUGUUGGAUGGGCCCGCGCUGCAUUAGUUAGUUGGUGGGGUAACGGCCUACCAAGACCAUGAUGCAUAGCCGACCUGAGAGGGUGAUCGGCCACACUGGGACUGAGACACGGCCCAGACUCCUACGGGAGGCAGCAGUAGGGAAUCUUCGGCAAUGGACGAAAGUCUGACCGAGCAACGCCGCGUGAGUGAAGAAGGUUUUCGGAUCGUAAAACUCUGUUGUUAGAGAAGAACAAGUGAGAGAGUUACUGUUCUCACCUUGACGGUAUCUAACCAGAAAGCCACGGCUAACUACGUGCCAGCAGCCGCGGUAAUACGUAGGUGGCAAGCGUUGUCCGGAUUUAUUGGGCGUAAAGCGAGCGCAGGCGGUUUCUUAAGUCUGAUGUGAAAGCCCUCGGCUCAACCGAGGAAGGUCAUUGGAAACUGGGGAACUUGAGUGCAGAAGAGGAGAGUGGAAUUCCAUGUGUAGCGGUGAAAUGCGUAGAUAUAUGGAGGAACACCAGUGGCGAAGGCGACUCUCUGGUCUGUAACUGACGCUGAGGCUCGAAAGCGUGGGGAGCAAACAGG